rnacentral:rRNA from 1 species
GGUUUGAUUAUGGCCCAGACGGAACGCUGGCGGGAUGCUUACACAUGCAAGUCGAACGGCAGCACGGACUUCGGUCUGGUGGCGAGUGGCGAACGGGUGAGUAAUGUAUCGGAACGUGCCUAGUAGCGGGGAUAACUACGCGAAAGCGUAGCUAAUACCGCAUACGCCCUUCGGGGGAAAGCGGGGGGACCUUCGGGCCUCGCACUAUUAGAGCGGCCGAUAUCGGAUUAGCUAGCUGGUGGGGUAACGGCUCACCAAGGCGACGAUCCGAAGGAUUGAGAGGACGACCAGCCACACUGGGACUGAGACACGGCCCAGACUCCUACGGGAGGCAGCAGUGGGGAAUUUUUGGACAAUGGGGGAAACCCUGAUCCAGCCAUCCCGCGUGUGCGAUGAAGGCCUUCGGGUUGUAAAGCACUUUUGGCAGGAAAAGAAAACGGCACGGGAUAAUACCCCGUGCAACUGACGGUACCUGCAGAAUAAGCACCGGCUAACCACGUGCCAGCAGCCGCGGUAAUACGUAGGGUGCAAGCGUUAAUCGGAAUUACUGGGCGUAAAGCGUGCGCAGGCGGUUCGGAAAGAAAGAUGUGAAAUCCAGAGCUUAACCGGAACUGCAUUUUUAACUACCGAGCUAGAGUGUGUCAGAGGGAGGUGGAAUUCCGCGUGUAGCAGUGAAAUGCGUAGAUAUAAGAGGUUCUCCACCGAUGGCGAAGGCAGCCUCCUGGGAUAACACUGACGUUUAUGCAUCGAAAGCAGUGGGGAGCAAAUACAGGAUUAGAUACUCCGGAGAAUCACACGUUCAAACGAUGUCAACUAGCUGUUGGGGCUUCCGGCCUUGGUAUGCGCAGACGCUAACGGGCAGUGAAGUUGACCGCCUGGGAGUAUUAUCGCAAGAUUAAACCGCGAAUUGAUGGGGACCCGCACAAGCGGUGGAGAUGAUGAUUAAUUCGAUGCAACGCGAAAACUUACCUACCCUUUAUGGUUCUGGAAUCCCGAAGAGAUUUGGGAGGUUCGGCAGAGAACGAAACUCAGAAAGCAUGGCUGUCGUCAGCUCGUGUCGUGAGAUGUUGGGUUAAGUCCCGCAACGAGCGCAACCCUUGUCAUUAGUUGCUACGAAAGGGUACUCUAUCGAGACUGCUGGUGACAAACCGGAGGAAGGUGGGGAUGACGUCGUCCUCAUGGCCCUUAUGGGUAGGGCUUCACACGUCAUACAAUGGUCGGGACAGAGGGUCGCCAACCCGCGAGGGGAGCCAAUCCCAGGAAACCCGAUCGUAGUCCGGAUCGCAGUCUGCAACCUGACUGCGUGAAGUCGGAAUCUAGUAAUCGCGGAUCAGCAUGUCGCGGUGAAUACGUUCCGGUCUUGUACACACCGCCCGUCACAAUUGGUGGGAGAGUGGGUUUACCAGAAGUAGUUAGCCUAACCUCGGGAGGGCGAUUACCACGGUAGGAUUCACAUCGGGUGAAGUCGCACGAAGGCCGC